UUUCAAAAAUAGAUGUCCAAAGUUAGGCAUUCCAAAAUCCAUAUUUAAGCAUCUACAGAAGUGGCCUCAUUCUCAAAGUGCUGAAGUUGCCAAGAGCUGUAAAAUGCUCAAAACUUGAAAAUCAGGCCACAUCUUUAGGUGCUUGAAAACAGAUUCAAGAGCCUAAGUUUAGGCAUCUACAUUCUUGACUGUAAAAUAUUAUUACCCGUGCAAGACGUGCUAUAAUCCAUCACAGAUAUAUGACAUUCUCAAAAAUGUACUGUACUAAUUGGCCCAGAUUUUCAGUUGCAGCUGAAAAGCUCACUGCCCAGCUCAGAGCAAAUCACAAAUGUAGCCACUGCCCUUCACCAAUUUCCUGGUGGUAUUUAUGGCAGCAGGUUACAGUGACUGCCAAAAGCACGCAGUGAACAACUGUGGCAGCUCACCUGGCAUAUAUUCCCUUUAUCUGCCCUCAGUCUCCAGCAGAAGAAAGGAUGGAAUCGAUGUAAGCUUGCACUAGACAGAUUAAAAAAAGAGCUCGCGCUCUAUCAGAGUAAUCCUCCCAUGGCCACCUAUUUCCAUGUUUAAAUCUAUGCAAUGCAAGGGAAAUAGGCCCCAUACUUUAUCAAUGCCAAUCACAUUUGUUAAACAUGCGAAUGGGGUAUAUCUGUUUACUUAAAUGUUACCAAGUAGAAUUCAGUAACAUCUUUUGAAACUGAUGUCACGUCCUUCAGCUUAGGGAAACUAAAAGGAAAUGAAGACACACAGCUGCUUGGUAUGCUGGUGUCCCAGUAGGGAAAUGGCUUCCCCCGGUGCUAGAUGCAGAAUAAAAUGAUAGACAAUAUUUAAAGGCAAAAAUACAGUAAGGAAAGGUUCAUCAACAAAGUAGCAAAUAUAUAGAAGAUUUUAUUUUAAUGCGUUGAUACAGCUUCUCUGCUUCCUCCAAAUCCAAAAUCAUGACAUUAUCUCCAUGAAAUACUCUGUAACAAAAUUCUCAGUAUGAAUCAGGGUCUUCAGGGUACUUCCCUUUUCCAUUUUCAGCAGCAUUUUUAAAUAAUUGCUGCAUCCUGUAGCUUCAGCGCUUAGACAGCAGUAAAGACAACAUAUUCUACACACUCACUGCACCUGUACACAAGUAUAGUGUCCCACACAGCUGGAAAGCACUCUCUGAUGAAUGGGCAUAUUAGAAUCACACAAAAUUAUCUUGCAUCUGAGGUCAUUCAUCAUAUCUGGCAACAUCUUACUAAAACUGCAAUGAAAGCAACCAUACCUCCAUAGCUUCUUUUAUCCAAAUGGUUCUCCAUACCAUGUUUACCUUUUUAAUGUAUACUGUCUGUAUGCUUACAAAGGGUAAAAUUCUCAGACAUCCUUAAAUGUGCCACUCCAUUAAUAAUAGAGCUGUCAUUAUCUUGAACAAAUGAGAUUCUGAUCACAAAUUCUUUCACUUAACAAUUAAAUAUGACCACUUCUGGGACGGCUAUAAUAACCCUUCAAUGGCACACAAACAACAUUAUCCAAGAGUUUAUAGCCAGAAAUAAAGUAAAACACCUCUUUCCAAAGACACAGCAAGGGGAAAUUAACGUAGGAAAUGAACCCAAACUGGCCAAGACAUUUAAAUAUAUUGUUUCAACAUUAUCUCCCAGAGAACAAUACACCUACUAGAUCACCCACAACCAUGAGAAGUUUAAGAUAAACCCCCAACUGAGCAUCCAGGCAGGACUCCUACCAGAGAGCCAUAGUCACUCCCUAUGCCCCACCACCCCAUCUGGUGAGUCCACAUUCCUCUGUGAAUUACCUACAUAGGCCCCUAAUAUUUCAAUAGGACUAUCUCUGCUGUAGCAUAUGUCUAUGCAUGAAUCCAAAGCAUGGAGGGACUUGCUUACCUACUGCUCCAACUUCUUCCUAGAAGCUGAAUUGAUGCUGAGAGGCUAUGAUUAUUUGUUUGAGGACGGAAUCAGUUACACAGCUUUCAGACCAACCUGGCCAAAUGCAAUUCCAAAUGCAUAUUUGUCAGCAAAAGACACUUGAAACUUACCCUUAGCUCAUGUGAGACAAAAAUACUCUAGUGCAAAGGUGGCAUCACUGAGCCCUUUAUAGCAAAAAGUCUUUUUCAUCUGCUACAUAACCCAAUGACUCAUGACCUAGAAAUAAGUUCCCAAGAUAUAAUAAAUGGGAAGACAAGCGGGCUCUAAACUGCUUUUUGUCCAGAAACUUCCCCUUUCACACCUGUUGCUACAGUUCUCUUUUUCCCAAUUAUUUACUCAGGAAAAAGAGCAUAUGGGAAGGACCCUGCCAGGAAAUACUUGAAUGAGCUGAAAGUGGUGUUUUAGACAUAAAAAAAAAAAGACAGGGCAAAGCAUGGCAUUCAUGCCAAAUGGCUGUUAAAGAGGUAACAACAGAAGAGUGAAAUAAGAUAUGACGAUACUGGAGUCUGAUGAGAGCUAGACAGGAAUCACAGGAAGCACUUAUGCAGAAAUAGAAGGAAUAAAAGAAUUUUGCAGUGCUUUGGAUGACAAGUGAUAUGAUUUGAGCAUGAAAUGUAAAACAACUGGCAGUUCAGAAGGAAAUGUGAAGAGAGCAAGAUGGCAACAAAUACAGAAACGGCUGCAGGUUGCUACCUCAGCAGCCACUUGAGUGAACUGCUCUCAAGGAAAUCCAAAGGGAGAAAGUCACAACAGUCAGUGCAAGAGAUUAACAGAAGUAUGAACAAAGCUUCUAGCUGGAAGACUGGGUUUAGUCAGGAAAGGUAGAUCUGUUGUUGGCUGUGACAGACCAAGAACUGAAUGAAUGACAGGUGCCCAGUCACAUUUUCCUUCCUGGGCUGGAGCUCAGACCGAACAGUGGGACAAAGGAAGGAAAGCAUGCAUAACUAAAGAUUCUACUGAAUGGCUCCUAUCCAUCAUUGAUAGAGGAGUUGUUCUCUAUGGCUCACAAUGUAGGAGGAAAAAGCUGCCUCUGAACCUUGGUAGCUCUGCAUGGCACAGGUUCCCAGGAUGCUAUCAUUCACACAGCAAUGCCAGCUCCAGGUAUUUCACAGCAAGUAUUUGUAUUCAAAGCCUUGGGUUCAAUUUUGCAGACUUCAACUCAGGACAAAACCAGUGAAAGUUGCAUAGGAACAUUCCUGCAAGAAAAGAUUCAAUGGCAGAAGCAGUAAGUGUAAUGGGGACCACAGAACGCACUAGGGACAAAGGCUCAGAUUCCUCCGGCACAUAUAUUUCCAUCUCUCUAUUUUAUAAAACUUAAAGAUUUUCCUUGCUAAGCAAUGCAUCUGCUGAUCCCUAAGGACUACACCCCAUCAACUUUAAAACUUGCUUUUAUGAAGCUCGUUUUCUCCUUUCAUUAGCUCUUAUUGUUCUCUCUGUGCUGCUGCAGGUAUCUCUGCUGCUGUUAAGAGAAACAGUGGCUUGCAGCCAUCUCGGUCACCAUGGACUUGCGCUAUUCACCACAACCGUUAUCCCGACAAACACUCUGCCUUUCCAAUUGCGGCCUCAAAGUACCAACUCCCUCUUCAUAGGAGCAGACAGCUACAAUAAGAAGAGAUACACAUCAUAAGCUCCAUUAUUAGAAUACACAGCUGACCUUUUCUACCUACUGACAGCACAGCUUAUGGCAGAUUUCCAUUAUCCAAAGCUCUCUACAAAUUUGCUCCAGCUUCUACUGAUUCAACACAGACACUAAAAGUCAAGAGUCUUUUGAGUGCUUAUCAUAUAUCUUGAUAGAGAGAAACAGAAACUGAGCAGUUUGACACUUCGGAUCCAGGCGACUACAUGUGCCUCUAUGCUCAGCAAAGACAAAGAUGCCGGGGUUUGCAAAGGAGUCAAAGGUGCCAAGACUCUACAACAAAAGAGAAGUUUUCACCUACAAAUCAAAGCAGUGGUUGCAAUGAGAGUGCGGGAGCAAUACUUGCCUUUCUCACUCAGACUUGGCUUGGGAUUUAAAGCCCCAGGGGCUUCCAUCCUGCAUCCGACUGUGGGUUUACAGCAAAAUGAGCACUGAGAGAGAAAUAUGAAGGCUCAGACAAGGAGAUGGAAGAAAAGGAGAAAAGGAGGUGAGACACAGAUAUGCAGAACCACCACACUGCAAGUGGGAACCCAAGCCUCCUCACAUGCAUGACCACUGAAGAUACUGCUUUGAAAACAGAAGUGGAAAUAAAUGGGAUUUGAAGAGGCCUGUGAUGCACCCCACCACUAGAGAACUUCUUGAGGAACAGAUUCCAGAGCCAGCUAGAGCAGUCCUGAAUGUAGCACUAAAAAAAAUGACCACAAACACCGUAAGACAUGAAGUCCGAUAUACACGAUCUGGCAUAAGCAUAGUGCAAGAAUUUCAGUGGUGUGACUAAAAUCCUCUUUGGCCAUCUGAAUAUAUUACCAAAAUCUGAUGCAUCACUAGAUCUUCAAGAAACUACUGCUCUGGGAUCUUUUGCUCAUUUUCACACUUUCCAUAUCUGAACGCCUCCAUCUUUAUCAACCCAAUGGUGAGAUGUUCCCUCACCAAAAUCCAAGACUUUGUCUCAAGAAUUCAGCUCUGGAUUUGCAACAAUCACUUCCACUGCCUGCUACCAGACACCCUGAGUGCUUUCGACUCACUUUGCAUCAUGGAGAGAAGGUCCUUUUCAAUGUCUACCAUUGUCAGCAAUUCUCUUUUCCCAUUGAUCCUUCCCCAGCAGACAAACAAGGAGCUCAUGAUAACACGCCUACUCAAGGUGAGAUGACCAGUUUGAGCACCCUAUUCUUUUUCCUAACCUGUUACUGAUAACCCUCAGUGUGACUCAAGUGUCGGUCCCUGAGAGGCGGCUUAAAAUAGUAAAGCUGGAACUACCAGAAGCUGGAUAAAUUAAUGGGGUUUUUUUCUGGAAUAUUUAGUUACAACUGACAGAACUUUGCACAUCUUCCACUUCCUCAACAGUUUGGAACUGCAUCGAAGUCAUGCUCUUAAAGUUAAAUCAAGAAAAAAAUAAUGAUCUUUCCUUGGGGUUUUGCAUCACAUGCAAACUUUACAUUUCACAAAACUGUAAUGAUUGCAUCUUUCCCCACACAGGUGCUCAGGAUACAGGUACUUCAGGAAACAUCAAGCUCAGAUUUUCCACACUGAAAUACAGGGAAAGAGAGAAAGCACUGGCUGUAAGCCGUAACUGUGGCUGUAUCACUUUACCAUCCUGCCAUCCAGGGAGAGGUUGAAGCAGCAGCAGGCUACUUGUGCUUUCACCUCCAUUUUUAAAAGGAUUUGUUUGUACAUGUAUAAGGGGAAAGAGGGAGAUGAAGAGAAGCUCCCCAUUCAGGAAUAGACAUGAAAAUGGGAAUUUUCAGCAGCACAGUAUGUCACCAAAUAUCUUGUUGCUUUUUCUACCAUUAUAAAGAGCAAUACUUCAUUUGCCCUUGCCUGCCAUAUUUGCUUUGUAAGGUAUCGUGGUUUGGGCCAGACUGGCCACUGAGAUGAAUGACAGAUGCUCUUCCCCACCUCUCUCUUCAAGGAGAGGAAGAGACCUAUGGAGCUUAGAAAGGAGACUAAACUACUUUAAUGAAAAUAUUAAUAAAAUAAUAAAAAGGAAAUAAUGAAAUAUAUACAAUAUAUACAAAACACUAUCAAUCUCCCAGGAUGAGGAUCAUGUCAACCACAGGCACUUGGGAAGUCCCAGACUGGACUCAGCGACGGAUGGGAACUGGAUUCUGGAUCUGAGUUCAGGAAUGCACGGAUUGGGAUCAAAGGCAGACAGAGUCCUCCUUGGACGCCAGCCACUGAAGAAAGAGGCUGACCCUUUGAUCCCUCAGCUUUUAUACUGAGCACAAUGCAGAUGAGAUGGAAUACCCUGAUGGUCAGUUUUGGGUCACCUGUCCUGUCCGCUCCUCCCCGCAGGUACGACCCUUCUAUGCUCUUCUGCUUCUGACCCUCCAACAGGACACAUAACAAAGUGAGCUGACCUUAGUUGUUAUAGCAAUAAAUAUAAGCAAGAGCCUCUCUGCAUACCAGCCCUUGGCAUAAAUUAGAAACAAUCAGGUCUUAUCUCUCUGGGAGCAAACAGUGUCUGAACAAUACGCUGUUAAUUUCAGAGAGUUCACUUAGUUAGAAGAGGCUUAGUUGCAAAGUAAAAUUACUGAACAGAAAAUUGGUUCUGUUUUACCUCAAACCAGUACAUAGGGUUUGCCACAUCCUGGCCUUCAUCUGCCACAUUGUGGUACAGGAAAUCCAGGGUUCUCUCUCUGCAGGGCUAAUUAUGUCAGGGACUCCUAUUCCACUCCAGUAUCUCUAUCAAAUGCCUGAAAGUACAGACACCAAAGCUCCUAACUGCACUCAUCCUUGCUCUGUAUUUCCAUCCAACAGAGACAAACGCGCUGGAAAAAUUGCUACUAGAGCAAGCUACCAUGAAAAACAGAGUUUGCUUUUCUUCUUUUAAAUGAGUUAGUUAGAAACCAUUCGGCUGUUUGUUCGGCAUUCUGAGCCAAAGCCAAGCGCGAUCUCUCCCUCGACUUACAUUAGUCUUGAGAACACAAACAAUAAGCAAGCUGAGGCUUAAUGAGCCUGCAUGCGGGGUCAGUCUGGCGGAACGAAACAGGAUGGUCAUUUUUGGAGCCAUCCCAUUUUGAAACGGGAACUACAGAGAGGGAAUAAAAAGAGCAACAGAGGAGUAAGGACCUGCAGAGAUAUCUCAUUCAAAGGAUUUCUCAGAUAGUGACUCCCUCGUGGCUUCUUUACUCCAGCUGAUUUGUAAGAUACUAUUGCCCAAGUACUGGCACUGAGCAGCUAAUCCAGAUCAGCUUGCAUCAGCCUUUGGCAUAGCUGCAGUGGCACAUCUGGGUUGAGAAGGAAAGACUCAGCCUUCUCUCCAGGAAUGUAUAAACAUAUUUGGUUUUAGAAAGACUCGCUUCAAAUAAAAUGUGUACUAUACAACACACAAAAGGAACAUACUUGAGAUUGAAAAAACACAUCAACGGCACUAAACCCUUUCUGUAACUAUUUCUGAACAACGCAUAAUAGAACCUUCUGCUAAAACCCAAGCGUGUGAAAAGCACAGACUUUCACCAUUAGAGUCAAAAGUUAACCUCCUUUAAUUGCCUCUAAAAUGUGGGAGAUGAACAAUUCUAGAUGUAAAAGCACUCCACCAACUACGGAGUCAAUAGACAACACGUGCUAGAGGAAAUACAGAGCCACGGUAACAUCUUCAACCAGUCACUCCUUCCCUUUCCUCUCUUUCCUAACUCAUUCCACAGACCCCAUUCUGGGGCACAUUUCAUAUUCUCUUUGUUUCUCAACUUAACAGACUCCUUAUUUCCCUGGCCUGUGCAGCCCUGAAGAGCAGGAAGAAUGCCAAAACCCAUUAACCCGAGAGGCGCUCAGAUAUAAAGGUGAUGGGCUGAUAGAAAAUUCUAAAGGCAAACUGGAUUAGUGUCAUAGACAUAUCUUUGGGCCAUCUGAAGAAGGAAUCUUCAAUUAUUCCGAGACACAUUAAUAAGCUUUUGAAAAUUUUACCUUGGCAACCCACUCCUCAAGCUACAAAACAAUGAACAGAGAAAUGUGAACCUCAGACAACUGAAUGGUUAAAAUCCUGCUUGUGAUCUGCUGCAGACGCUUUCACUGGGAAUGUUUGAGCAUAAUAGUUCUGUGUAGGACGAAGGGAACUGUUGAUA